rnacentral:rRNA from 1 species
UACAGGGGGUGCAAACGUUGCUCGGAAUCGAUUGGCGUAAAGCGCACGUAGGCGGUUCGUUAUGUCGGAUGUGAAAGCCCUUGGCUUAACCGAGGAAGUGCAUCCGAAACUGGCGAGCUAGAGUACUAAAGAGGAUCGCGGAAUUCCCGGUGUAGAGGUGAAAUUCGUAGAUAUUCGCAAGAACACCAGUGGCGAAGGCGGCUCACUGGUCCAUAACUGACGCUGAGGCACGAAAGCGUGGGGAGCAAACAGGG